AAGGAUUCCCCUAGUAACUGCGAGUGAAGCGGGAAGAGCUCAAAUUUAAAAUCUGGCGGCAUUGGUCGUCCGAAUUGUAAUCUGGAGAAGCGUUUUCUGUGUCGGACCGCGCACAAGUUUCCUGGAACGGCAACGUCAUAGAGGGUGAGAAUCCCGUCCAUGGCGCGGACCCCCGAUGCUUUGUGAUACGCUCUCGAAGAGUCGAGUUGUUUGGGAUUGCAGCUCAAAAUGGGUGGUAAAUUCCAUCUAAAGCUAAAUAUUGGCGAGAGACCGAUAGCGAACAAGUACCGUGAGGGAAAGAUGAAAAGCACUUUGGAAAGAGAGUUAAACAGUACGUGAAAUUGUUGAAAGGGAAACGCUUGAAGUCAGUCGCGUUCACCGGGACUCAGCCGUUCUUUUCUGGACGGAUCACUUCCUGGUGGACGGGUCAACGUCGAUUUCAGACGGUGGAUAAGGGGAGAAGGAAGGUGGCACCUUCGGGUGUGUUAUAGCCUUGUCUCGCAUACACCGACCGGGAUCGAGGACUGCAGCACGCCACUAUGGCCGGGGGCUCGCCCCACGUUACGUGCUUAGGAUGUUGGCAUAAUGGCUUUAAGCGACCCGUCUUGAAACACGGACCAAGGAGUCUAACAUGCUCGCGAGUGUUAGGGUGGAAAACCCUUGCGCGGAAUGAAAGUGAAAGUUGGGACCCUUCACCGGGGCACCGACGCCCGGCCCUGAACUCUUGUGACGGUGCUGCGGUUGAGCGCGUAUGUUGGGACCCGAAAGAUGGUGAACUAUGCCUGAAUAGGGCGAAGCCAGAGGAAACUCUGGUGGAGGCUCGUAGCGAUUCUGACGUGCAAAUCGAUCGUCAAAUUUGGG
rnacentral:rRNA from 1 species